UUGGUGAAGUGGCAAAAAUGUAUGUUAUCCCAAAUUAUGUCUUAAAGGUACCUGUACUUUAAUUUCUUUUCAGCAGAGCCAACUGCACUUCUCCAAAUGUUGUGAUGCAGUUCGCCAACCAUAAAAUGUGCACAGAAAUACACACAUGUUAGGGUAAAGUGCACUAAAAAUGUGCAUUGGUGAAAAUAGCAUACAAAGGUGUGUUGUAUUAGGGGAAAUUACUUGCAAAGGUGCAACUAUUAGGCAACGUUGGAUUCAAAGACGUGUGCAUUAGGAGGAGAAAUGUGUGUGAAAAUAACAUUAAAAAGGCUGUGUGGUUUUCUUAUUUUUAAAGUCCCAAACUAAUGAGGAAAUGGAAAGAAGACUGGAAGAACAAGAAACAGAGAGAAACCAAAACUGACAAAUUUGUCCUUCCCUUGAGUUCAGUGGGGCCUACUCCCAGGUGUGUUGCCUGCACAUAUCAGUGCGCCCAGUCUCAGUAAAUAUCUCCUCAAAAACUGACUAUGCAUGAGAGACUGUUUGAUCCUCCAGCUCCAUUCCUGUCUGACGCUGCAUUCUUAAUGGGGUGGGUGGCAAGGAAGUAUGACCGUUUUGUGGCCCUGUCUCCUUUUCUGCUCUUGCGGAUGUGGCAGCCAUUUUGUGUUUUGCUAAUCACCCCAUGGCAGCCAUGUUGUGACUGCCGCAAAUGACACUUUCUCAAAAUUCUAAAUGUGUCUACUGGCCCAAAAAGUAGUGAGAACCACAGUGUUUUGGAUCCAGAUCUCCAGUCUCAUCCCUGACUGAGAAGCUGCAUCUGCUCUCCAGAAACGGCCCUGAAAUGUGGACAUUCUGUACUUUAGGGCCCAGGGAGAGCCGCCUGGUGCCAAACAGGUGCAUGUUGUCUUCCCCUAUCUUGACAAUGCUGUCUUGUGCAUGGAACUGUUUGCAAGGAAAGACAGAAAAAUCCUAGGCAAAAGCUGCUGCGCUCACCACUGGCAGAGGACACUGUGCUUUGCUAGAAGCAAAUAUUUUUCUUAUUAACAAGUCAAUGAGAAGAUUUAUUAUUGAUGUUAUUUCAUGCGAGUUCAAUUAGACAGAGGACAAGGCUAUCAACUGCUACUAGCCAAAAGGGCUAGUAGCACAGCAUGCAGAUGAAGAAGUUGCCCUUUCUGUGGGUCAUUCUACGUGGCUGAACAUGCCAUCUUGCAUCUAGAGUCCAGAUGCGUGCAUUCCUGCCACAUAAUUAACAGUGGAUAAUGUUUUGCUACCCUAAGCAUUUCAUCUUCACAGCAACCCUAAGAGAAAUUUGGGACACAUCUGCAUCCAAAUUAGAAGGAACUGCCACCUCACUCAUGCUACAAGGCACUGUCAAAUAUCUCAACGCACAUCUCUUUGCAAAAAUGUCUCUUCCCGCCUUGCUCAGGGUAAAAGGGCACCCAAGUGACCAAUAUCCUUGGACAAGUAGAAUAAACUCAAGGCACAUUCUAAAGCAAGCAGAUGACAGAAUGACACAAACUUACAUCCAGCGAAGGCUCCGGCAUAUCAGAUGUCCCCUGCCCACCAGCCUGACCUUCUAAGGCUGAGGAGGGGUUAAAGGCCAGGUCAUUGUGUGGAUGGUUGCUAGGAGCGGCCUGUGGCGGCUGCCGGGACGGCUGGGUAGGAGGACCGCUGUGAUGUAAUGGCUGCCCUGACUGGCUGCUGGGAUGAGUCACAUCUUCUGGGCAAAAAGGCAUCCCCAUCAAAGAAGCAGCUCUUGACAGAUGUUUCCACAGCAAAUUCACCUUAAGCCAAUUAAGGUGAAUGCUGCAAAACUAAAGACUUCCAUGCCAUCAGGUGUGAGAGAAGGCAGCGCGUGCUUAUGCUAUUCCAAGAAGCCAGCUCCUGCAACAUCAAGCCAUUUUUCUCUUUGCUGUGUAAUCUCCCUUCCAAACCAUAAACAGAACAGCUGUGAUCCCUGUCACUCAAUUUAAGGACUGCCUACUGUUCUACCAAUAGGAUGCUUCACCAACCUGUUUCAGAUCAACUGCCUGGAAGAGGAAGAUAUGCUCACAACUGCUUCUGAGGUGGGCAGUAGAUGGUUAGUGGCAGAUACUGUUUGAUAGAUGCAAACACACAUACUCAAAACGUUUAAACCCACCUUGG